GCUCUAUGGAAGAAAUAUUAACAACCUCAAAACUGUGUAGUUCACUGUGAGCUAAAUCAAGGCUGUCAUGAUGCAUCUUGUCUUUGAAGAUGAGAAUACAAGACAAGAACUCUCAUAAGGUAUUCGCAAAAGUAAACACAAGACGUGAAGAGUACUGAAAGGGACCUGUGGUUGCCAAAGUGGCCGGAGAGGAAGCCUGGUCAACAUCCUGUGAACAAUCCUGCAUUGUUUUCCAAAGAUGCUGUUGAAGUUGUCUUAAUUAACACAGCUUGCCUUCAGUCCACCAAAGUUCUACAUCAUGGGUUGCAUGAAGUCAAAGCAAACGUUCCCAUUCCCUACCACAUUAGACAUUGACAGGCUUAAUGAGAGUGAAGAAGCCUUUAUGACAGAUGGAAGCUGUCAACAAAGGACCCCUUCUCCAGGGAAAACUCAAGCCGAAGUGAAGAAAUUCCCAGAGCCCAGUCCUAUGGUCCUUGAAUUCGCAGAGCGUCUGGCCAAGGAAAUCGUGCAGGAUGCCUUGCAGCAGUGGGCAUGUGAGAACAUCAAGUACUACAACAUUCCAUAUAUCGAGAGCGAGAGCUCUGACACCGCUAUUGGGUGAUGACGUUUCGCUGUGCUCCGGAUGUAGUCGGUGCUAGUUUAAAUACAUGAAAUGAGUUUUGAAACCGCAACUGGAUGUAAAACCAUGUCUGUGAUAAUAUUAGUGUAGGGAUGCUUAUGAUGAAAUAGAAUUUUAAGCAGUUCUAGUUAACAUCAAUGUAUAUCUGCUUGAUCACACAUUUGGGACACAGGAUGGACAGAGGUCUUGUGGCACCCAGCACCCGCUGUCUGCCAUAGCAUGCUCUUCCUGAGGCAGUAACGGCAUCACCAAAGAAAAGGCUGAAUAAAAAGUGCCCAAGUUCCAAAUGGUUAUUUUAAGGGAUUGACUUUAAAAUGACUAUUUCUGUUAAUCUAUACCAAAAAUAAGCCCAGAACAUGAAAAGGGGUUUCCUUAAAAUGCCUUGACAAGGAACGGAACUCUAGCCAUAGUGACCCACAGCCUGUUUGUCAAAACCAUUUGUGUCAGGGACUGCCCACUUCCUGACACUUGUAACCUACAAUCAGAGAACCACCAGUGAAGAGGGCUGCCUUGAAUGUUGCUCUUACUAGGAAGUUUAAUUUGUAGGUGAAAUAUAACUACCACCCUGGGCCUCAGGGGCACAGCUGUUACUGGAUGAUUUAAACUUUGCACAUUACAGCCAUCUUUAAAUGAUAGUUUAUAGAAGUCAUGACAUUAGCUUAUGUCAUUGAAAUAAGAAGCUCUCCGGUACCUUUUAUGACAGAAGCCUAGUCUGCGUGGUGACAACUCAAGCCGUGUCAUGACUAAAUGAGGGUAAAGCCUCCCUGAAGCGCUGGUGGAGGAGCAGACAUGGGUGUGUGAUUCUCCUGCACUACAGAGCAGAACAGAACACUCUCCCGAAGGGAGCACCUGUGUGGAAUUUAGCAGUCACAGGGCACUCUUAGCCAUAUGUUAUAGAAAUGUUACAAAUUAAGUAUUUUAAAAACUAUCAGAGUACAUACUUUAUUUUUUAAAGAACUCAACUGUAUAAAGCUCAAUAGUAAUAGAAGACUUAGGAUAAAGUCAGUAGAAACGUGGAGCUGAGUGUCUACAAUUACCACCGAGUUUAACAAGAAAGGAAAUAGACCCAUCUACAUCAGCCCUUCAGUGAUAUAGUUUAUCAGCAUCCUUGAAGUCCAAAACCAUUGGAGAAAGGCUUUUAGUAUCAUUAAUGAGAUAAAUAGGUACUUGACUCUGUCAAUAGCAAGAAACACUGUCUCUAGUUUUAACAGUAAUACGUUGAAAUCCAAGCCAAAUAGUGUGAAUCCUGCAAGUUUUAGGAACAAAGAGGCUGUUAAAAGGAGCAACAGGCCAUCUUUCAGACACCUGAUCAUUCUGCUAAUUUCACUGAGCCCUGGGAAUCACAAUACUCCACUACACUUGUAAUCCAGCAGCUUGCAGAUACAAGCAACUACUCUUGUUCCUACGACAACCUGCGCAUAAGUCCCAGUGCCAGAGUACUUUCCAUAAGUACAGUCUCUAGUUCAUGAUGCAGCACAGUUUCCAACGCCUGUACUAAUGAUUCAGGCAGAAGCCUAGGUCAUGAGUUUUUCACUCAUUUGGUUCCUCAUAUAAGGACACCUGUUGCAAGGUUUCUUGUUAUUUAAAAUAUAUGAUUAAGUAGAUAAAAUAAUACGUAUGUUGGUCAGAACACGAAAACAUAGUCGAUACAAGGAUAAUGGCAAGUGGGUUUGGGUUAUAUAUUUCAACUUCAGGCUUCUUCUUUGUCCCAUGUUGAUUCCCCAAGGGAGGAGCAAGGGUGUCUGCCAGGUACACAUCUAGCUAGAGGUCUGCUUCCGGCUGCCAUCCCCUUUCAGCAACUAUGAUGAACAGUUUUAUCAUGAAGCAAGCACUGUGCCCUCACCCUGAGUCAGGCUUUCGUGACAUAUAUAAUAUCUUCUAAGAGACCUAUCUUUGAAAUAUAUGAGAACUGUAUGUCAGCCCAUGAACAAGGGACCACAAGGCUUGUGUAGUAAGUGAAUAAACCAUGUGUAACAAAGAGAGUUGAACAAGCUUCAUACUACACUGGAGAGUUAUCAGGAUCCAGUUAGGACUUAACAAGACAUCUCUGAUAAGGAAUCAGCCUUCUUUCAUGCCUUUAUAGUAACAUUAUAUUAACAGCUGAUCCUCAUUUGAAGCCUCUCAUUAAGGAGGAGAUGGCUGAGAAGUGGGGGACUCAUAAACAGAAGGCGGAUGACUCAUUAGCCACUGGACAGGGACACGUGCAACAUCAGUGCAAGGGCAGAGGGACUGCUGUCGGCACGCGGCCUUCCAGUGGGGACUGCAGAAGCAGAUCUGGGAGGAAAUCAAUGUGCCAGUCCUUGAUUUACUAAGGUUCUCAAAAUGCCCCUCUUCCUCCCUGUUUUCUCUUUGGCACUGUUACCUUUGAUGACAGGCCUUUGAGCCUAGAAUUCCCCCGUCUUGGUUGCCUUAUCCGUUCUCUGCAAACUACCUAUGGUUAUUACCACUUAAAGCACAAUUCUGAAGGGGACAAACAUGGUGAUCUUAAGCCCGAAGGAAUUUGUAUCAAACUGUCUCAUAAGCAUGAAAAAUAAAUGCACAGAAAUGGCAAGAUAUGCAUAUCCCACUGAACCGCUGCUGGCAUUUGGUUGGAUGGGACGGAGUACACUUCUGUAUUGUAUUGUUUUAGAAAUCAGAAGUUAGACAUGUAUGAAUGAUGUCAAGAAACAGUCACGUAUGCAUAAUGUCUAUACAGAUGCAGUAUCUGUGUGAAAUGACCCAGCAAGCCAUGUGUUUCUUCCUUGGAGCCAUAAAAAUUAGCUCUAAAGAAUUAGCUGUCACUGUAUUUACAAAACUCAAGUUUUGUUAGUAAAUUUCCUUCACUGUAGAGUUAACUCUGAAGUGAUAUUUUCCCCUCAAAUAUUUUUGUGGAAAAAAAAUUGUAACUAUAAUAAAAAUCCAAUUGGAAUUAGCUUUCA